GACGAACGCUGGCGGCGUGCUUAUCACAUGCAAGUCGAACGGAAAGGCCCUGCUUUUGUGGGGUGCUCGAGUGGCGAACGGGUGAGUAACACGUGAGUAACCUGCCCUUGACUUUGGGAUAACUUCAGGAAACUGGGGCUAAUACCGGAUAGGAGCUCCUGCUGCAUGGUGGGGGUUGGAAAGUUUCGGCGAUUGGGGAUGGACUCGCGGCUUAUCAGCUUGUUGGUGGGGUAGUGGCUUACCAAGGCUUUGACGGGUAGCCGGCCUGAGAGGGUGACCGGCCACAUUGGGACUGAGAUACGGCCCAGACUCCUACGGGAGGCAGCAGUGGGGAAUAUUGCACAAUGGGCGGAAGCCUGAUGCAGCAACGCCGCGUGCGGGAUGACGGCCUUCGGGUUGUAAACCGCUUUCGCCUGUGACGAAGCGUGAGUGACGGUAAUGGGUAAAGAAGCACCGGCUAACUACGUG
rnacentral:rRNA from 1 species